GACGAACGCUGGCGGCGUGCCUAAUACAUGCAAGUCGAACGCUUUUGUUUUCACCGGAGCUUGCUCCACCGAAGACAAAAGAGUGGCGAACGGGUGAGUAACACGUGGGCAACCUGCCCUUCAGCGGGGGACAACACUUGGAAACAGGUGCUAAUACCGCAUAACAGCUUUUUUCACAUGAAAGAAGCUUGAAAGACGCUUUCGGGUGUCACUGAAGGAUGGGCCCGCGGUGCAUUAGCUAGUUGGUGAGGUAACGGCUCACCAAGGCGACGAUGCAUAGCCGACCUGAGAGGGUGAUCGGCCACAUUGGGACUGAGACACGGCCCAAACUCCUACGGGAGGCAGCAGUAGGGAAUCUUCGGCAAUGGACGAAAGUCUGACCGAGCAACGCCGCGUGAGUGAAGAAGGUUUUCGGAUCGUAAAACUCUGUUGUCAGAGAAGAACAAGGAUGAGAGCAACUGUUCAUCCCUUGACGGUAUCUGACCAGAAAGCCACGGCUAACUACGUGCCAGCAGCCGCCG
rnacentral:rRNA from 1 species